UACAGAGGAUGCAAGCGUUAUCCGGAAUGAUUGGGCGUAAAGGGUCCGCAGGUGGCAGUGUAAGUCUGCUGUCAAAGAAUGAGGCUUAACCUUAUCAAGGCAGUGGAAACUACACAGCUAGAGUACGGUCGGGGUAGAAGGAAUUCCUGGUGUAGCGGUGAAAUGCGUAGAGAUCAGGAAGAACACCGGUGGCGAAAGCGUUCUGCUAGACCUGUACUGACACUGAGGGACGAAAGCUAGGGGAGCGAAUGGG
rnacentral:rRNA from 1 species